ensembl:misc_RNA 7SK 7SK RNA
GGAUGUGAGGCCAAUUUGGCUGUCAUAUCUGUCACUCCAUUGAUCACCAGGGUUGAUUUGGCUGAUCUGCUAGCUAGCCCGGUGUCCCCUUCCCCACUGGCACUCCAUGUGGGUCCCUCCUGAAGCUGUGUGUUUGGUCAAAGAGAAUGACCAUCCCCGAUAGAGGACCGGUCUUCAGUCAGGGUGUAUGAGUAGCUGCACUCCCCUGCUGGAGCCUCCAGACAGGCUCCAUUUGUAGGAGAAUGUACAGUCGUCAGGCUUCCAAGACUCCAGACACAUCCAAAUGAGGCACUGCAUGUGGCAGUCUGCCUUUCUAA